CCUACGGGAGGCAGCAGUGGGGAAUAUUGCACAAUGGGGGAAACCCUGAUGCAGCAACGCCGCGUGAAGGAAGACGGUUUUCGGAUUGUAAACUUCUGUUCUUAGUGAAGAAUAAUGACGGUAGCUAAGGAGCAAGCCACGGCUAACUACGUGCCAGCAGCCGCGGUAAUACGUAGGUGGCAAGCGUUGUCCGGAUUUACUGGGUGUAAAGGGUGCGUAGGCGGUCUUGCAAGUCAGACGUGAAAACCACAGGCUCAACCUGUGGACUGCGUUUGAAACUGUGGGGCUUGAGUGAAGUAGAGGUAGGCGGAAUUCCCGGUGUAGCGGUGAAAUGCGUAGAGAUCGGGAGGAACACCAGUGGCGAAGGCGGCCUACUGGGCUUUAACUGACGCUGAGGCACGAAAGCAUGGGUAGCAAACAGGAUUAGAUACCCGAGUAGUC
rnacentral:rRNA from 1 species